UACGGAGGGGACUAGCGUUGUUCGGAAUUACUGGGCGUAAAGCGCACGUAGGCGGAUUUGUAAGUCAGGGGUGAAAUCCCGGGGGCUCAACCUCGGAACUGCCUUUGAUACUGCAAAUCUCGAGUCCGGAAGAGGUGAGUGGAAUUCCUAGUGUAGAGGUGAAAUUCGUAGAUAUUCGGAAGAACACCAGUGGCGAAGGCGACUCACUGGACAUGUAUUGACGCUGAGGUACGAAAGCGUGGGGGAGCAAACAGG
rnacentral:rRNA from 1 species